AUUGAACGCUGGCGGCAUGCUUUACACAUGCAAGUCGAACGGCAGCGCGGGGCAACCUGGCGGCGAGUGGCGAACGGGUGAGUAAUAUAUCGGAACGUACCCAAGAGUGGGGGAUAACGUAGCGAAAGUUACGCUAAUACCGCAUACGAUCUAAGGAUGAAAGUGGGGGAUCGCAAGACCUCAUGCUCCUGGAGCGGCCGACAUCUGAUUAGCUAGUUGGUGAGGUAAAGGCUCACCAAGGCUACGAUCAGUAGCUGGUCUGAGAGGACGACCAGCCACACUGGAACUGGGACACGGUCCAGACUCCUACGGGAGGCAGCAGUGGGGAAUUUUGGACAAUGGGCGCAAGCCUGAUCCAGCAAUGCCGCGUGAGUGAAGAAGGCCUUCGGGUUGUAAAGCUCUUUUGUCAGGGAAGAAACGGUCUCAGCUAAUAUCUGGGGCUAAUGACGGUACCUGAAGAAUAAGCACCGGCUAACUACGUGCCAGCCGCCGCCGUAA
rnacentral:rRNA from 1 species